CCUACGGGUGGCAGCAGUAGGGAAUAUUGCUCAAUGGGGGAAACCCUGAAGCAGCAACGCCGCGUGGGGGAUGAAGGUUUUCGGAUUGUAAACCCCUUUUGUUAGAGAAGAAAAUGACGGUAUCUAACGAAUAAGCACCGGCCAACUACGUGCCAGCAGCCGCGGUAAUACGGAGGGUGCAAGCGUUACUCGGAAUCACUGGGCGUAAAGAGCGCGUAGGCGGGUUAGCGAGUCAGAUGUGAAAGCCUAUGGCUUAACCGUAGAACUGCAUUUGAAACUGGUGUUCUUGAGUGUGGGAGAGGUAGGUGGAAUUCUUGGUGUAGCGGUAAAAUCCGUAGAGAUCAAGAGGAAUACUCGUGGCGAAGGCGACCUACUGGAACAUAACUGACGCUGAGGCGCGAAAGCGUGGGGAGCAAACAGGAUUAGAUACCCGAGUAGUC
rnacentral:rRNA from 1 species